rnacentral:rRNA from 1 species
UACGGGGGGGGGCAAGCGUUGUUCGGAAUUACUGGGCGUAAAGGGCGCGUAGGCGGUCAGAUAAGUCAGCUGUGAAAACCUCGGGCUUAACCCGAGGCCUGCAGUUGAAACUGUUUGGCUGGAGUCCGGAAGAGGAGAGUGGAAUUCCCGGUGUAGCGGUGAAAUGCGCAGAUAUCGGGAAGAACACCCGUGGCGAAGGCGGCUCUCUGGGACGGUACUGACGCUGAGACGCGAAAGCGUGGGGAGCGAACAGG